UAAUACCAGCUCCUCGAGUGGUAGGGACGAUUAUUGGGCUUAAAGCGUCCGUAGCCGGCCUGGCAAGUCUUUCGUUAAAUCCAGCGACCUAAUCGCUGGGCCGCGGGAGAUACUGUCAGGCUAGGGGGCGGAAGAGGCCGACGGUAUUCCCGGGGUAGGAGUGAAAUCUUAUAAUCCCGGGAGGACCACCAGUGGCGAAGGCGGUCGGCUAGUACGCGCUCGACGGUGAGGGACGAAAGCUGGGGGAGCGAGCCGGAUUAGAUACCCGGGUAGUCCCAGCCGUAAACGAUGCGGGCUAGGUGUUGAGGCGGCUACGAGCCGCUUCGGUGCCGCAGGGAAGCCAUUAAGCCCGCCGCCUGGGAAGUACGGUCGCAAGGCUG
rnacentral:rRNA from 1 species